UCUGCAGCUGAUACCAAUUCCCGAUAGGGAAUUUGUCCUCUAGUUUUAUAAGAUGUUCCCAUCGAGAGAAACUGCUUAAAAAAAUACAGGAGAACCCUCUCCUAGGUCCGACUACGGUAUGUAAAUCUACAAUUAUCACAAUGUAAAAAGUUUACAUGUAAACUUACAGGAGAAUUGAAAUUUACCACAAAUCUCCAAUUGAGUCUACUGUGCUCUAGCACACCGAAAUUCUGAGGGUCUAAGCAUGUGUUUGGAGUUCACGGAGUUCCCACUGGGGCUCAGCAGGAUAAGAACCUGACUAGUAUGCAUGAAGAUGUGGGUUCGAUCCUUGGCCUCACUCGGUGGGUUAAGGGCCUGGCGUUGCUGCAAGCUGCGGCUUAGGUGGUAGAUGCGGCUGGGAUCUGGUGUGGCUGUGGCAGGGGCAUAGGCCUGCAGCUGCGGCUCCAACUGAAUCCUUAGCCUGGGAACUUUCAUAUGCUGCACCUGUAGCCAUAAAAAGGAAAAAAAAAUAAUAAUAAUUACAGUUCACAAAACUGCUGGCUUUGAUCCUCUUGUCCCUUCCAACUCAGUAGCCUGGAAACCUCCCAGAGCUCUAUCUUAAGAUCUGUGCUUUUCUGUGGCACUUUCUCCCCUCCUCAUUGUUCUGGGUUCAUUAGAUAAAAUUGUCCCAAACUCCUGAUGAGAGAUGAUCUAUUGUGAGAUAGCUUUGUGAGGCAGAACACAGGAAACCUCAGGGUCUUAUCUCCUGUGAGCCGUCUGUUUUUCCCCAACAGCCCAAUAAAGGAGACUCCUCAGCUGGCGGGGAGUGGUUGGGAAGGCAGACACGGUCCCCAGACCCCUGACCCCACCCUCCACGGCCCUCUCUGUCGCAGGCAGCUGCGUUUCUUGUGGGCUGAGCCAGGGCUGGGAGGGUGAACAGUUCCUUCUCAGAUGGGCAAAGAGGACUUGUCCUGAUGGCUCUCUCAAUCUCUGCAAGGUCUCUGUUCACAUGUAUGUCCUGCUGAGUCGUAGUUCGGAGGAAGAGAAAAAUAGUCCAUUACAGACGUCGUAAAAUGUCUCUCUCCUCAUCAUGGAUCAAAGCUGUUUUCAUCAUUUCCUUGGCAGGACCUCUUCAUUCUGGUGAGUAGAUUUUCAUCUGCAGUGAAACAUGUUACAUAUCUUAGAAAGUGCAGGAAAAAGUUCUGUAAUCCAGGAAUGGAGGAGCUUGUGUUUUAUUGGGUUU
rnacentral:lncRNA from 1 species